rnacentral:lncRNA from 1 species
ACAAAUGAAAGAACACAUCAACGUAGAACCAUGACAGGUUAUCUCUGCAUAAUAAUACUGACAAACUUCAUAAACACGUAAGAAAAAAGUAUAGUCAUGAACCAUGGUGCAUAUAUAUAGCAAUGUCUGAAUUAAGAUGAUGAGCAUUACAACAGGGGGAGAUCAUUGACCUUAAAUCUCUUACAUAUGAACAUGUCUUCUCUAAAUGUAGGCCAUGGUUGAGAAGCAAGCCAGAUCCGGAUAUUCAGUAACUAAAGCCAGAAACUUAUCCACCUCUUCAUAUUUAAACAACAUAUUUCUUCUAAAUGUAGGCCAUGGCUGAGAAGCAAGCCGGAUCUGGAUAUUCAGUAACUAAACCCAGAAACUUAUCCACCUCUUCAUAUUUAAACAACAUAUUCCUAUAAGAUGAUAUGAAAGAAAUUGAUGAGAACAAUAGUGCAUUUCCUCUUACUACGAAUCAACACCCAACCAAUAUACAGCAGCACAUGCACAUAUAAGAGAUCCAAAUCUUGAUGAUAGGUUCAUGCAUAAAGGAAGAAAAUUUGCAGAAUAUAGCAGAAUCUUAUCAAGUGAUCCUAAUUCCAUGUGAAGUUGCCUAGGAAAAACAUCAGCAAAGGAUCAAGGUAUAGAACAAACAACAGUAAUAUAUAUAUAGUGCUUGACGGUAAAAAAUAAUAAAUGAAUCCUAGUGGGUACAAGUAUUUUGAAUAAUGAAGAAUAUUAAGAACUAACCAUACACAUGGUAUGAAAGAAAUUGAUGAGAACAAUAGUACAUUUCCUCUUACUGCAAAUCAACACCAACAAAUCUACAGCAGCAAAGGCACAUAUAAGAGAUCCAAAUCUUGAUGAUAGGUUCAUGCAUAAAGCAAGAAAAUUUGAGAAUAUACCAGAAUCUUAUUAACUGAUCCUAAUUCCAUGUGAAGUUGCAUAGGAAAAAUAUCAGCGAAGGAUCAAGGUGGACAACAAACAACAGUAAUAUAUACUGCUUGAAGGUAAAUAAUAAAAAAUGAAAUCCUAGUGGGUACACAUGUUUGGAAUAAUGAAGAAAAUUAAGAACUAACCAUAUAAGAAAUGUACAGCGACACCAUAGUAAUCAUAUUCGUAACACAGGGAAGAACUACCCUCCUAAAAACAUGAAAGCACUGCGGUGUAUCAUACGACGAAAGCCGUUCAGGUUUAGCUCAAAAUAUAGUACACAUGGUAGAAACUGCUUAAGUCUGUAGCUUCAGUAAAAAUAGUUAUUUUGGAUCCCAUGGCAACAUCACACAGUUAUCCUGAGAACGGCGGAUACAGAAUUGAAACCGAUAGAUAAAGGAAACAAAAUCAAUAUUUAUCAAAAAAAACACCUGGACAACUGGACUAGUUGAGAGUAGAGGCUUGAGAAGCUAGAACAUAGGAGUAUUUUGCAGAGGAGUGGAAGAAAGUAAUACUAAAAAAAUCAAAAUAUUGAGGCCAAAUCAAGCUGCAUCUUAGCAAUGUAGUGGCACUUGUUUUGUGGACAUUAUCCUGUUUGUGCAUAAUUAUUGUCUGUCAAUCUAGGUGAUAUAGUCAUUUCGUAAAUUGCUCUAAGGAUGGAGCUGACAAUAAUACUAUCAAUUAGAAGCACAAAUUAAAAUACCAUUAUCCCCAGGAUUACUCUUACUCUUUGUUCCCCUGUAAGUGGAAUAGGGGGAGUAAAAUAACAGCAAAACUUUACCAGGAUAACAAAGGCGAGG